UGGGCGCGCUACCCACAACCUCCCGCGCCAAAGCGCGCGAAAAUCGCGGGUUGUAGCACUACGUCUUUUUGAUGGUCUGCAUCCGCGUUUCUCCUGAAAAAAAGUCCGUCUUUCCUCCAGGGCUCCACGCUGCCCCUUCCAGAAACAUGCUAAGAAGAAGGAAUUUAGAGUCUAAAAAACCUGGACUUGGCCCUUGGCAGAUCUGAACUGCAGAGGGUCAUUCUGCCCUUGAAAAGAAACCAAGAUAAAAGGAAACAGCUCUCAGGAAUUAUAAGCAAAACACAACCAGACACUCACUGCGGAUUGCCCCAUUUUCCACCUCUUUAGUAAGUGGUUUGGCUUUUAGUGCAUUGCAGAUAUAUGUGCUUGGGUAGCCCUUUUCUUUGCAACGGGAUUUGAUUCUCCUUAUUCUUUUCCUGUCUAUGCCUAGUAAGUCUUGAAAAUCCUUCACUUCUUCAUUCCACAGAUGUUUACUGAAUGCCUGCUAUGUGCAAGAUACUGAUUCUUCCUCUGCUGUGACUUUUGGAUAAUCCAGACUUGAAUUGAGGGGGCAUUGCUGGCUUGAAAAUGAUCCAAGAGCAGAAGAAACACUUCUCAAAAUCAUCCACCAAACAAACAAAAAUUGAGAAACAUAGAUUUUUUGUUUGUUUGUUUUUUCUCUUCAAGAAUGAACCAGGACUCUAACUUUGGAUUUUCAGUAAGUCAUAUAACCUGUCUACGUAAAGCCUUCCAUUUUCAUCUUUUGAUUCAUCUUAUCUGUAAGAUGAAUUAAUCACACCCUCCUAUGACUUCUCCUUUGGCCACUUAUCAUUCUCAGACUGUCCUGAAUUGAAUUAUUAGGAAGUACAGGCCUUGGAAAUGAAGCCAAGAUAAAAGGAAAAUACUCAAGUUCCCUACUUUCCCUUAGGAAAUAAAGCAGAUUAAAGUAGUGCUCUUCCGGGUUUU
rnacentral:lncRNA from 1 species